GCGAUACAGGGUGACAGCCCCGUACACAAAAAUGCACAUACUGUGAGCUCGAUGAGUAGGGCGGGACACGUGGUAUCCUGUCUGAAUAUGGGGGGACCAUCCUCCAAGGCUAAAUACUCCUGACUGACCGAUAGUGAACCAGUACCGUGAGGGAAAGGCGAAAAGAACCCCGGCGAGGGGAGUGAAAAAGAACCUGAAACCGUGUACGUACAAGCAGUGGGAGCCUCUUUUAUGGGGUGACUGCGUACCUUUUGUAUAAUGGGUCAGCGACUUAUAUUCUGUAGCAAGGUUAACCGAAUAGGGGAGCCGAAGGGAAACCGAGUCUUAACCGGGCGUUAAGUUGCAGGGUAUAGACCCGAAACCCGGUGAUCUAGCCAUGGGCAGGUUGAAGGUUGGGUAACACUAACUGGAGGACCGAACCGACUAAUGUUGAAAAAUUAGCGGAUGACUUGUGGCUGGGGGUGAAAGGCCAAUCAAACCGGGAGAUAGCUGGUUCUCCCCGAAAGCUAUUUAGGUAGCGCCUCGUGAAUUCAUCUCCGGGGGUAGAGCACUGUUUCGGCAAGGGGGUCAUCCCGACUUACCAACCCGAUGCAAACUGCGAAUACCGGAGAAUGUUAUCACGGGAGACACACGGCGGGUGCUAACGUCCGUCGUGAAGAGGGAAACAACCCAGACCGCCAGCUAAGGUCCCAAAGUCAUGGUUAAGUGGGAAACGAUGUGGGAAGGCCCAGACAGCCAGGAUGUUGGCUUAGAAGCAGCCAUCAUUUAAAGAAAGCGUAAUAGCUCACUGGUCGAGUCGGCCUGCGCGGAAGAUGUAACGGGGCUAAACCAUGCACCGAAGCUGCGGCAGCGACACUGUGUGUUGUUGGGUAGGGGAGCGU
rnacentral:rRNA from 1 species